rnacentral:rRNA from 1 species
CGCYGGCGGCGUGCCUAAUACAUGCAAGUCGAACGAGAGCGACCGGUGCUUGCACUGGUCAAUCUAGUGGCGAACGGGUGAGUAACACGUGGGUAACCUGCCCAUCAGAGGGGGAUAACAUCCGGAAACGGAUGCUAAAACCGCAUAGGUCUUCGAGCCGCAUGGCUUGAAGAGGAAAAGAGGCGCAAGCUUCUGCUGAUGGAUGGACCCGCGGUGCAUUAGCUAGUUGGUGAGGUAACGGCUCACCAAGGCCGUGAUGCAUAGCCGACCUGAGAGGGUGAUCGGCCACAUUGGGACUGAGACACGGCCCAAACUCCUACGGGAGGCAGCAGUAGGGAAUCUUCCGCAAUGGACGCAAGUCUGACGGAGCAACGCCGCGUGAGUGAAGAAGGUUUUCGGAUCGUAAAACUCUGUUGUUAGAGAAGAACAAGUGCUAGAGUAACUGUUAGCGCCUUGACGGUAUCUAACCAGAAAGCCACGGCUAACUACGUGCCAGCAGCCGCGGUAAUACGUAGGUGGCAAGCGUUGUCCGGAUUUAUUGGGCGUAAAGCGAGCGCAGGCGGUUCCUUAAGUCUGAUGUGAAAGCCCCCGGCUCAACCGGGGAGGGUCAUUGGAAACUGGGGAACUUGAGUGCAGAAGAGGAGAGUGGAAUUCCAUGUGUAGCGGUGAAAUGCGUAGAUAUAUGGAGGAACACCAGUGGCGAAGGCGACUCUCUGGUCUGUAACUGACGCUGAGGCUCGAAAGCGUGGGUAGCAAACAGGAUUAGAUACCCUGGUAGUCCACGCCGUAAACGAUGAGUGCUAAG